rnacentral:rRNA from 1 species
CGUCUAUAUACGUAUAGCAUAUCAAUAAGCGGAGGAAAAGAAACUAACUAGGAUUCCCUCAGUAACGGCGAGUGAAGCGGGAAGAGCUCAAAUUUGAAAUCUUCAAGGUUCUACCUUGACGAAUUGUAGUUUAAAGAAGUGUUUUCUGUUGGAGUUUUGGUAAAAGUUCUUUGGAAUAGGACAUCAUAGAGGGUGAGAAUCCCGUAUUUGACCAUUAUUUCCAACUUUGUGAUACACUUUCAAAGAGUCGGAUUGUUUGGGAAUGCAGUCCAAAAUGGGUGGUAAAUUUCAUCUAAAGCUAAAUAUUGGCGAGAGACCGAUAGCGAACAAGUACCGUGAGGGAAAGAUGAAAAGAACUUUGAAAAGAGAGUUAAACAGUACGUGAAAUUGUCAAAAGGGAAGCGUUUGACACCAGUGUUGUUUUCUCGAAAAUCAAUUAAAAAUGGAUGGGAUGUUGUGUUGUAUUGACUUUAUCAGCUUUCUGCACUUUUUUCUUAUCUUUUUUAAUGCACUUUUCGUUUAACAAGUCAACAUCAAUUUCUUUUGUUGUAAAAGAGUCAUUGGAAGGUGGCUUUUCUUUCGGAGAAAAGUGUUUAUAGCCUUUGGCUUCUGCAAUCGGAGAGAUUGAGGUCUGCAGCGUAGAUCCUUCGGGGUUAGAUACAUUUGUGCUAAGCUAUAGUUCUUUAUAGACAACUUGUUGACUAUGAUCAGUCCUGUAGCUUACUCGCUUAUGCUAUUUUACCUACGCUUAGGAUGUUGACGAUCAGCUGAGCGCG